UACGGGGGGGCAAGCGUUGUUCGGAAUUACUGGGCGUAAAGGGCUCGUAGGUGGCCAACUAAGUCAGACGUGAAAUCCCUCGGCUUAACCGGGGAACUGCAUCUGAUACUGGAUGGCUUGAGUUUGGGAGAGGGAUGCGGAAUUCCAGGUGUAGCGGUGAAAUGCGUAGAUAUCUGGAGGAACACCGGUGGCGAAGGCGGCAUCCUGGACCAACACUGACGCUGAGUGAGCGAAAGCCAGGGGAGCAAACGGG
rnacentral:rRNA from 1 species